rnacentral:misc_RNA from 1 species
GAUGAAGAACGUAGCGAAAUGCGAUAAGUAAUGUGAAUUGCAGAAUUCAGUGAAUCAUCGAAUCUUUGAACGCACAUUGCGCCCCCUGGUAUUCCGCAGGGCAUGCCUGUUCGAGCGUCAUUUCAACCCUCAAGCCCCGCUUGGUGUUGGGCCCCGCCCGCUGUGGCCGGCCCUAAAGACAGUGGCGGCGCCGCCUGGCCCUCAGCGUAGUACAUCUCUCGCUCCAGGGUCCGGUGGCCGCCUGCCAGAACCCCCCAACUCUGUGGUUGACCUCGGAUCAGGUAGGGAUACCCGCUGAACUUAAGCAUAUCAAUAAGCGGAGGA